CCGUUUUCGGCUCGAUUUCCAUCCGCCUGCUCGAUUGCUCGAAAUCUAAACGGUAUUUUUUUUACGAAGCAUGAACAAAACGAAACAAAGUCGCAACAACUGCCAUUUUAGUUUUUCCCGUCGCCGUGUGCGUUAUUAUUUUAGAGAAAAUAUGUUGCAAAUCAGUGUUUUCUCUUUAAUUUUUCUUAUCAAAUCGUUCGCUUAGGGCGGACGGUUUAUCAACUGGUGUUAAAUGGACUCUUUGUGGAAUGCAAAACCCUUAAUCCAUUGUAGAAAUAUCGAUAUGGAUUAGAUUGGCCAUAUGGAGCGGUGGGACGGAGCACAAAACACCGGUGGUUUCAUAUCCAGCACCAAGUUGAUUCCAGUUCCAGAGAUUGCGAUUGAUUCAGCGGACGUGAUUCGGGAAGUUUCCGUAGCGAAAGCGAUUUUUCCAGCUCCCAGUAUGCUACCACAACGACGACUUCCCGCAUCAACAACCAUCAUUUGAUUGCCAAUAGUUAAAUAACUAUUCUGACCGAUCCACCUGAUUAACAGAGAUUUUUUCCGAUCUGGGAAGCAAUCGGGUCGUUGCAAAAAGUGUAAACAUAAAUCAAUUGGGCAGUUUUACUUCUCAACAACCCGUUGCUCCAAUGCAUACAAAUUCCGGUAAGCAAGAUUCAACGCCUCUUAUUUCCGUUCCGGUCAGUUUCGACAAUUCCAGAGUUGGUUGUAUAUUCGACAUCGGAUCAACCGGGGAUAAAACUGGUGGAUAUCAAAUAACGGAACUGGUUGAUCAGCCCGUUGAUCUGAAACAGGAAGAAGUGCUUAUGUGCAUAGAUUUUUCAAAUGUACGGUUCUCUGGCGACUGGUUCUCUAUACCACGGACUUCGAAACCAACCGUACUUCUCAAAGGUGGUCCUGUCUUUAAUAUGCUGCUCAAGCGUCAGAGCUCCGAGCUAUUUAAACACAAUAAAAAAGACAAGCAGAAACAACUAGGGAAACACCCCACAAAUAGCCAACCCAACAAUGGUAACCGGUGACAAAGUUCCGCCUUCAGUUCUUAAACAACAGCAACAGGCAGUCCAACAGCCUGCAGCUUCAAAGCGAACCGAGCAAAGGAACUUGGACGACAGAUGGACCAGGAGAAAAGUCAAAAUUCUACUGCAUCCACAACAAGCCGUGGUGAUGUGAUCUGUGCCAAACCAUCACUCCGCUGCCGAUCGAGACAGCUUUUCCUGUUAACGUAGGCAUUACUGAUUCCGAUCCACUACCGACUAACAUUUCUACGGCUACCACACAACCCACCUAAAGCGUUACCGUUCCUCCACAACGCAUCAAACACAGCGUGAUAGGAAAUAUCCUGCCCCAACAACGGCCGUCAUUCCCUCGGUGGUUGCGCCGACAAUUUCCGUUCCGAAGGCAACCAUUCCUUCCAUCGCAUCAGGAAUGUUCGCCCAAAACAUCGUAGCAGCCGCUGCGUAUACCUUUCCUUCUGGUGCUGUCGAUAAAGAAGCAGAAGAUAGUGACGACGUGUCGAUAGCUGCACAAAAUCUCUAUGAACCAUUCGAUUACGCCGGAACUGGAAAUCAUAGAGAAAAACAACAAGAGUUGCACUUGGAGUGCGGUCGAUUUUGCCUACGACGAACCGUAUAAAGAGACGUUCUGGUGAUCUUUUUUAGAUUCCAUCGAACAUUCACAAACUGCGCUUUGAAGGCCCCACCCAAGAAGAACCCUAGUAGAUUGUUUAAAAUGUCCCAUUUCUCACCACUCCCAACAAAUAGAAGAACUAAUUGAAUACCAAAAAAGGAAACCCAGUAGCGCCCACGUCCAAUGGAGAGCCUGUUGGUGAAAACGGUUCCGACGCCAUCGCAGUCUCCAGAUUUUUCAACAGCCCAUCAACACAACAACAACAACCUCAAACAAUAGCAUAUCCAUCUGAAGGGAACCGUACUCAAGAGCUUUCAACUAUCAUUAGUGGUCACUGGUCACCGCUAAUAGUACUCAGUGCUGGUCGAGCAGAAACAACUACGCCGUAUUAACGUCUAACUGAAAAUUGGCAUACUUUAGCAGCAAAAUCAACAGCAACACUCAGUGGUUGCACCGAUUAGUCUUGGUGACCGCGAAAAACCGAGCAGUUCUAAAUCGAGUAUCGGCUUUUCGACGCCAAAGAAAGUCACACUAAAGAGAGCAAUCCAUGGUCUCGAAAGAAAGUAAAUUUCAAGCCAGAUUUGAAACUAAAGUGUCUGUAGUCGAGUGGGCUAAAAAGGCAUGCCUGCUGUACACGGAAACAGUUCCAACUCCAUCGGUGAAUGUUGCCCUAACCGAAAGAACGGUUUAUUCAUGGUUUCAGAAACCAUGAGAUCUGGUCUGCCAACAUAUCAGCAUCAAAUCAUUGCAGCAACAUAUGAACGGUAACAAUGGAAUUUUUUCAACAACUGAUCCAAGGGUAGGAACGAAGGCAGUUUCAUAUCAGUAUGGCAAUUUUCAUGAUAGACAAAUCAACACUAAGGCAAGGAAAUUGGAACUACUUCAAUCAAUAUAUCUUGACCAACGGAUUCACAAUAAUGGUGUCAAAAUGUCGAUAUGAAUAGGACUGUGUUUUAUGUUCCGCACGCAUAUCGCACACUUAGCUCAAAAAGGAAUGUGAUGGGAUAAUUAUCUGCUGUUGCAUUCCACCUUAAUAAAAUGUCACCAAAUCAAGGAUUGUGAUUUGCACAAAUCCUAGAUUUAACACAAUAUAAUAAUCGGUCAACAUUAUUAUCUAUUCUACCGGCGAUUCUCCAAAUUUGUGCUUUAUCCGUCUUCAUCUUGACAAACAAAUUUCUCGGCUCGCCUGGGUUGCGAAGAGCUGAACAACAUAACCUCUAGGACUUUCGAACAUGUGAUGAAUUUUGUGGCUGGAACCACAAUAUUUCGAGAAAUUGUUUUCCCGUCGCCGCAGGAUUAUUAUACGGUAUUCUUCGUAGCCUAGGAAGGUUAGCUUCCGACGCCAUUUCAGUUUGCCUUCCUGAGAUUGAGAGGAAUCUAUUGGUCUACCGGAUUUGGAGUACGACGAAACCUACGUUUACUCCCUCCACAGAAACUGGUGAUCCCGUUAAGCAUUAUAAAUUCCAAUGGUUCCGACUACUAGGUGACUGUGGAUGUAUCUGCAAUUUUCUUAAAAAGUUUAAAGUUGUUUCUUGGCCUACUGCACAGCGCCCAAUGAAACAAAAAAUGGUUAGAUGGAGACGCCCCUGAAUCUGGGUUUGUUAUCGUAUCGGAGCUGUUGUGAUCAAACGGCACUGGAAACAUUGCUCAUUGCAAACCGGGGACACGGCAAAAUACGUUCAAGUAAUUAAUGUUUGGCUCAAAAUUAUGUUUUAAAGUGGUUUCUUGGCCCAGCGGCAAAUGAAACAACGCGAAAGUUUACGGCUGACAUGAUCAGGUGCCUAAAGAUACUCCUGUGGCUGGAUAAGAGUUCAUUUGUUAUUUGUUGAGUGAGGAGGGCAUCAAUAGAAUUCCUACAUAAAAAGCUAGGUUAUGUGAAACGAGAAUCAAAACAAAAUAACAAUGUAUCAUUGAAUGCAAAAUUAAAAUUAUUCAAUAAAUGUUCACAAAGAAAUGGCUUUCUUUUUUUAAUUCAUUAGAAACCUUGAAAAAAACAUCAACAAAAGUUUUGGCAAUCGGCCCGGAAACGGUUCGAAAAAUCGUUCGGUUUCGGUCCGAAAUCGGGCCGUUUUUUCGGAUGGACGCUAUGGCAAUCGGCCCAGAAACGGUUCGAAAAACCGUUCGGUAUCGGUCCGAAAUCGGUUCUUUUUUCGGAUGGACGCUAUGGCAAUCGGACCAGAAACGGUUCGAAGAACGUUCGGUUUCGGUCCGAAAACGGUCCGCUUGUUUUGACAUU